UGUACAGAGAAGCCAGGUAAACACCAGCAGGAAGAAGUCUGCUGCAAGCCAGAAAGAAAAGCCUCACCAGAAACCAUGUCUACUUGUACCUUGACCUUGAACUUCUAGCCUCCUCAACAGUAAGAAAAUAAAUGUUUGCUACUUCAGCCACCUGUACUGUGCCGGCUAUUUGGUUCUGAAGUUUAUGAAUCCUUUUUGGACAUAUGUAUUCUGGAAAUGAAUUCUGCCCUAAGCAAUAUGAUUCAUCAGGAGCCUACGGGUUCAAGAGAAACUGGACAACAAGAAGAAUUCCAUAUUUGGGAAAGACUGAGAGAUCAACAACUGUGACAAUGUCCAGGAUGAGGACAGGUUAGGAAUUAGGAGUCUCAAUUUACAAGCUGCACCUGAAUCUCUAUUUGAUAUUAAGAAUCAGGAUAAGAAUAGGUGUAACCAUCAUGAAGUCCAAAUUAUUUCUUCAUUUUCUUGUGCAAAAGAAAUUAAUCGGAAUGCUAUAAGAAGCCAGAAGAUGAUGUCAACAAAAUAAAGGAAUAGGAAGCCUCAACCUUCAUCCCUUACGACAACACUAAUUUGGCAGUCAUUUCUGAUAAAAGUGCAUUUGGGGGGAGCUGUGAGAUCCACCUUAAAGGCUGCGUUAUCCUGGUGGAGACCAAGAACAGCAGCUUUAAGAAGGCAAGAUGCUCCCUGCUGGCAGACAAGCCGAACACAGAUCUGAGUGCAGAUGUGCUGUGGAAAGAGCUCUAUGACUGUUUUAGUCCCACUCCAUCAUGUCCCAGAGAGUCUCUUCCACCCACGUACCUAGCCGGA